rnacentral:rRNA from 1 species
GACGUAGGGCGCGAGCGUUGUCCGGAUUUAUUGGGCGUAAAGAGCUCGUAGGCGGCUUGUUGCGUCGACUGUGAAAACCUGCGGCUCAACCGUGUGGUCUGCAGUCGAUACGGGCAGGCUGGAGUUCGGUAGGGGAGACUGGAAUUCCUGGUGUAGCGGGGAAAUGCGCAGAUAUCAGGAGGAACACCUGAGGUGAAGACGGGUUGCUGGGCCGACACUGACGCUGAGUGCGCGAAAGCCAGGGGAGCAAACGGG